AGUGGCGGACGGGGGAGUAACGCGUGGGUAACCUGCCUCAUACAGGGGGAUAACAGUUAGAAAUAGACUGCUAAUACCGCAUAAGACCACAGCACCGCAUGGUGCAGGGGUAAAAACUCCGGUGGUAUGAGAUGGACCCGCGUCUGAUUAGGUAGUUGGUGGGGUAACGGCCUACCAAGCCGACGAUCAGUAGCCGACCUGAGAGGGUGACCGGCCACAUUGGGACUGAGACACGGCCCAA
rnacentral:rRNA from 1 species